rnacentral:rRNA from 1 species
CAGUAAGAGCUUGCUCUUAUGGGUGGCGAGUGGCGGACGGGUGAGGAAUACAUCGGAAUCUACUCUGUCGUGGGGGAUAACGUAGGGAAACUUACGCUAAUACCGCAUACGACCUACGGGUGAAAGCAGGGGAUCUUCGGACCUUGCGCGAUUGAAUGAGCCGAUGUCGGAUUAGCUAGUUGGCGGGGUAAAGGCCCACCAAGGCGACGAUCCGUAGCUGGUCUGAGAGGAUGAUCAGCCACACUGGAACUGAGACACGGUCCAGACUCCUACGGGAGGCAGCAGUGGGGAAUAUUGGACAAUGGGCGCAAGCCUGAUCCAGCCAUACCGCGUGGGUGAAGAAGGCCUUCGGGUUGUAAAGCCCUUUUGUUGGGAAAGAAAUCCAGCCGGCUAAUACCUGGUUGGGAUGACGGUACCCAAAGAAUAAGCACCGGCUAACUUCGUGCCAGCAGCCGCGGUAAUACGAAGGGUGCAAGCGUUACUCGGAAUUACUGGGCGUAAAGCGUGCGUAGGUGGUCGUUUAAGUCCGUUGUGAAAGCCCUGGGCUCAACCUGGGAACUGCAGUGGAUACUGGACGACUAGAGUGUGGUAGAGGGUAGCGGAAUUCCUGGUGUAGCAGUGAAAUGCGUAGAGAUCAGGAGGACAUCCAUGGCGAAGGCAGCUACCUGGACCAACACUGACACUGAGGCACGAAAGCGUGGGGAGCA